rnacentral:rRNA from 1 species
GACGAACGUUGGCGGCGUGCCUUACACAUGCAAGUCGUACGCGAAAGGGUGAACCGGCUUGCCGGGGGAUCCCGAGUAGAGUGGCGAACGGGAGCGUAACACGUGAGAAACCUGCCUUGGAGUGGGGAAUAACUUCGAGAAAUCGGAGCCAAUUCCGCAUGAUGCAGCGGCCCCGCAUGGGGACAGUUGUUAAAGACGGCCUCUGCUUGCAAGCCGUCGCUUCGAGAUGGUCUCGCGGCCUAUCAGCUAGUUGGUGAGGUAAUGGCUCACCAAGGCGACGACGGGUAGCCGGCCUGAGAGGGU